AAUAAGCAUCGGGCUUCAAGUCAGAAGGCUCUGGUUUGCUACGUAGCUUAAGCUGGGUGUGCCUGGGCAUUCGCCCAGGUCUCUGCCUCUGCAGCAAAACGGGGGUGACCAAACCAGCCCCACAGAUUGAUUAUGAAGAGUAAAUGUGGUCCCAUGGCAUCAUCAUAUAUGAGAAACACCUCAAUACAUUGAGCACGAACGUCAACAAUGGUGAUUAAAUUACAGGCAGUCAGGCAGGGCUGGCCUCUUUCUGACUUGUGAUCUGAACCGUGGAGCUCACGUGUUCAGAAUGAACAUCACCUCACUGGAGUUCAAGGCUCUGCAACUCGUACGUGCUUCAGAAUCCCUGGGAAGCUAAACGUUAAGAUCCUUUUGAAGUCUGAACUCUGGCUGACAGAACGUAAGAGGGACAGAAGAAGAUCUUCCUGCUAUAAUGCCAGGGCCCAGUACCCACACUGGGGGCCUGUGGUGCCCAAGGUGUCUCCAGCCAGGCCUAUGCCUGAGAGUUAAGAGAGGACACAGCAACAAGUUGGCGCCAUGUCUAUUUCCUCUUGGGAUCCAUGGUGCCUACGCAGAGUCUGGCCCAGAGCAAGGAUUAAGGGUCUUGGCCGAAAAAAAGUGAAGCUUAUUUUAAGCAAGAACUUAAAACAGACUCUCACCUAAGGACCACCACCCAGGCGAGGGCUUCUUGGGCCAUUAACAUCCUUGACCUCAAAGAUGGAAAUUGCAAGAUGGGAGACUGAGAGUGCCGUUCAAGGUUCCCUAAUGUGAGCCAUUGGAGACAUGGCUGGGAUCAACUUUAACCUAUCUCUGCUCAAAAGGUGUCAACCUUGUCCACAUCAGCCAGGAUGUCAAGGUGGAGAGGAUAGAAAUUCCGGAUCUGGCUGAGUCUAGUGCCCACCAGAGAAAACUUUGGCCUUUAAUCUGGGAUUUUUACAUCAUUUUCUUCUCUAACAGAGGGAGAGAGAGGGGCAUGAGUUGGGUCCACCAAUUGGGACAAGCAGGUCCAACCUGCUUCUCUGCUGUCUUCAAUUCCAUUCAGACCCCUACGCCCUGCUGCCUAGCACCUCCACCUUCCCCUCUGGGGCUCCAGCAAAGAGGAAGGCAGUCAGAACCACUCCAAAGGGUCCAAUCUCCUUGCAUUCCAGCCCUGGCCAAAGUCAGCCCGGGAACAAGUGGAGAGCCCCUCUUGAAGGAAGUGAUUCAGAAACCAUGAUGGCCUGGCGGCCCGCCGUGACUCACAGCACAUCAAUGGGGGAAUUGUCUGUAGAAGCCGAGAAUUCCAAAGCUCUUUUCUUUCCUUUCUUACUUACUUUCUUUUUUUUCUUUCUUUCUUUCUUUUUUGCCCUCCCCUUGGCGGCAUUGUGCAACAGCAGGGCUGCCCAGAAACAUGUGGUUUUCAUCAUUGGCUCCACAGCUGCCCUAGAGCACUGUGGAGAAAAUAAGAUGGAGAGGGAACAGGAUACAAGGGGACCUGUCGCGGUCAAGCAGGGUCCUUCUCUUUCCCCCCACCUUUCUUGUCAACACCAACAUCCUCAAAGAGCAUCUGGAACGGAAGGGAAUAGAAUUUUGGAUCUGGGAGAAAACUUAGAGUAUGUCUCAUCCAAUAACUCUAUGUACAGAUGAGGAAACUGAGGCCUCAAGAGGGGACGUAAGUGGCUUGGCAAAUGUCCACAGCCAAGUUGCAUCUUGCAUCUUGCUGCAGUGACUGACUUUUCUUAGCCUCCAAGUCAGGAAAUGUAGUUUGACAAAGGAUAAUUUUUUUCCAUGGAAUGUGACAGAUGAAAAGUCAUACCAAGUUUAGUUAUAAAUCUCUCCAUUGUCCCUUUCCCCUUAUCUACCAGUCUAGGGAGUCUGUUUUACCCGGAGUCAUCUGUGGGGACACGUGCAAAAUCUAAAGGUCUUUUUGCAGUUGUCAUCUGAUUGGUCAUCUCUGUAGCAUGUGAAUUAAUGUCCACAGGUUUCCAGGUAUUCCCCCUAUGCAUCCACUCCUACCUCUGCAACGUCUCCUUUUCGGCAUUCUUUUCUCCUCCCUUGGCUCUCAGAUGCCUUAGUUCUAUAGGGCUGUCUUAUCUUAACUCAUAUCCAUGUUCACGGUUUCAGUGGCUAUCAUUCAGCUGAGGACUCCCAAAUCUUAUCUAUAGUCUGUUCAUCAUUCCUGAGCUACAGACGUGUACAUACAGCUGCCUUCUCAGUGCCUUUCUUGGAUUCCCCAGAUGGAACUCAUCAUUUCCCUCCAUAGCUCUUUGACUACUUUGAUUUUAUUACCAAGUAACUAUGGGACCAAUAUAGUCAGUGUUCCAAAGCACAUGCUUUGGCAUCUUAUUGACCUGGGCCUGACUCCCAGAUAUGCCACUUAACUGGCUACGGGUCUUUGGCCAAGUUACUGACCUUUCCAAGUUCCUCAUCUGUAAAAUGGGGGUAAUAAAAAUACCUACUUCAUAAGGCUGUCAUUAAGAGGAAAUGAGUUAAUACAAUAGCAUUAACACAAUGCCUGGCACAUAAUAAAUACUCAAUUACUGCUGAGCUGUUAUUUUUAUUAUGUACCUCAGCAUCCUCCCAACUUGAGCCACACUGAAUUCUUAGCACUUAAAAUAUUUACUGACCACAUAUGUGUUCCAAGCACUGUGCGUGGUAUAGAAUUACAUGAGUGGAUAGAUGAAUUUUCUGUUUUAAAAUUGCCUUACAAAGUAUCCCCAUUUUACAGAUGAGGAAGACAAUCACUUUCUGAGAAAAGCAAACAACCAACCAAGAGAUUCCCUCAUGUUCCUUCUUACUAGCCAAUAAUUUAUACUGAAUAUGAUGACACAGAAAAAAAGAAAAAGGUAGGCCAAUUCAUAGUUCACUUUUCUUUUAGUCCUUACUUACUCAACAGUAAGCCUCAAGUAGAGGGGGUUGGAAGAAUGUGUGUGCAUCCAGAAGUGAAAUAAAAACAGUUGAGUUAGUUUUGUGUAGCAUGGUUGUGUAAGAGGAAACCCCUUUCGCUUGGCUCUCAUUUUCUCUUGCUGCCG
rnacentral:lncRNA from 1 species